rnacentral:rRNA from 1 species
AGUGAACGCUGGCGGUAGGCCUAACACAUGCAAGUCGAACGGCAGCACAGUAAGAGCUUGCUCUUACGGGUGGCGAGUGGCGGACGGGUGAGGAAUACAUCGGAAUCUACUUUUUCGUGGGGGAUAACGUAGGGAAACUUACGCUAAUACCGCAUACGACCUACGGGUGAAAGCAGGGGAUCUUCGGACCUUUCGCGAUUGAUUGAGCCGAUGUCGGAUUAGCUAGUUGGCGGGGUAAAGGCCCACCAAGGCGACGAUCCGUAGCUGGUCUGAGAGGAUGAUCAGCCACACUGGAACUGAGACACGGUCCAGACUCCUACGGGAGGCAGCAGUGGGGAAUAUUGGACAAUGGGCGCAAGCCUGAUGCAGCCAUACCGCGUGGGUGAAGAAGGCCUUCGGGUUGUAAAGCCCUUUUGUUGGGGAAGAAAAGCAGCAGGUUAAUACCCCGCUGUUCUGACGGUACCCAAAGAAUAAGCACCGGCUAACUUCGUG